CAGAAAUGUCUUUAGGAGAGGUGAGGCCUUUUGGCUUAUGUGCUGUGCACAUGGCAAGGGCUGUGGGCUGGCAGCAGAGCCAGGAAUGAAAUGAAACAGCAGCCCUGGUAGAGGAAGAGGCAUUUGCAGGGCUCUGGAGAAGGAUGAUUUCAUGGUGACAUUGGAUUUCCUGCUUGGCUCCACACAGAACUCGUGGUGUGACCUGGGGAGGAAACCUUCAGUGCUGGGCAGAAGGAAGCCUGUGGGAAGAGGCAGAACCAGCUUUGCAUGGGAACACCUCAUCCAAGGAGAGGAUCCAAAGGAACAGGGGAAUUUGGGAUGAGCUCUGUGCUUUGCUGGUGGGACAUCAUGCCCUAAGAGAUCAAUCCCAUCAUCACAGGACAACCUUUCUUUUCAGCUUGCCUGUUCCCUGAGCUCCUGCUCAGCUAAUGGGAGUUAAUUAAUUGUCUCCAGGGUAAGGAAACCAGCUGUAAUUCCUGGCUGCAGAGGUUUGGUUGCUUAAAUAUCUUCAUUGGCACCGGGAGGCUUGCAUCAAUUCAGAGUAGUUGGCCACUGUUUUGUGAACAUAAACCUCUGCAGGCAUCAGUUUGGGUUUGUUGUUGUUCCAUCACCCUGGAGGAGGGGAGCUGCUGGGGGAUGCUGCACUUGCACCUUGAGCCCUUGUGUGACCAUCAGAGUGGCUCUGAUCUGCAUGGACACUUUGAUGGACACGGUCAUGAAGCAAAUGUGAGCCCUUCCCUCACCAAAUCCUGCUCCCCAGUGCAGGCAGCAGCAGGAGGUUCAGGCCUGGAGUCUGCAGAACAUCUUUCCAGGAUGGGCCUUGAGGAGUGUGCCCAGUGU